rnacentral:rRNA from 1 species
GCAAGACUACUUCGCGGAGAAUCCUACAUAUCCACCGCACCUCUUCCAGAGAAGGUACCGAAUGCGCCGAUCCCUCUUUGUGAAAAUUGUUCAACCUUGCAAGGAAAAUGCUGGUAUUUUACACAAAGAAGAAAUGUUGCGGGCUUAAAGGGAUUUAGUGCAUAUCAAAAAAUCUCCGCAGUUAUGCGGGUGAUUGCAUAUGGCGUUCCGGCUGACUAUGCCGAUGAGUACCUUCGCAUUGGUGAAGAUACUACAAUUGAGUCAGUGCGUAGAUUUGCAAAAGUGAUCAUCCGUGUCUUUGGUCCUGAGUAUCUUCGGGCACCCAACGAGGAUGACACAAAGAAAUUCAUGGCAUCUAAUGAGAGGAGAGGCUGGCCUGGCAUGCUAGGUAGCAUUGAUUAUAUGCAUUGGACUUGG